CUCUAGCCCUGAUUGUAGUGGCAUCCCGCGCUAUCAUUGCGAGGAACGAAGCUAUCAGCGCGGAUACAACGGAAAGCAGGACAACCA
rnacentral:sRNA from 1 species